CCUACGGGAGGCAGCAGUGAGGAAUAUUGGUCAAUGGCCGGAAGGCUGAACCAGCCAAGCCGCGUGAAGGACGAAGGUGCCAAGCAUUGUAAACUUCUUUUGUCAAGGGACAAACUCAGGCUCGAGAGCCUGACCGAGGGUACUUGAAGAAAAAGCAUCGGCUAACUCCGUGCCAGCAGCCGCGGUAAUACGGAGGAUGCGAGCGUUAUCCGGAUUUAUUGGGUUUAAAGGGUGCGUAGGCGGUCUGUUAAGUCAGCGGUAAAAGUCCGGGGCUCAACCCCGGCGAGCCGGUGAAACUGGCUGUCUUGAGAGUGCUAGAGGUAGGCGGAAUGCGCAGUGUAGCGGUGAAAUGCUUAGAUAGUGCGCAGAACUCCGAUUGCGAAGGCAGCAUACCGGCGGCGAACUGACGCUGAGGCACGAAAGCGUGGGGAUCGAACAGGAUUAGAUACCCGAGUAGUC
rnacentral:rRNA from 1 species